UAGGGGGAGAUGGAGAGGGUCGAGGAUGGAGAAAGGUAAUGGGAGAGACGGAGGCGAUGGGUGAGAAGCCAUCUCUCAUUUUGGGGGUAGGAGAGGGGUUGUAUCUAGGCCAUCUGUGCCCCCCUUCUGUCUUUCAAUUUAGUUUUGAGGUCAUAACUUCCACUGCUCCUUUCUGCUUCUCACAGCAAGGCGCACACAGCUUUCGCCAGCAGACCCAAUCUCCUGUACUCCUUGGCAUAUGGCUUUGCCUCUCUGAGCUAGUCCUGUGUGUAUGCAUGGGUACACAUACAACACUGUUUAACAUGUGCUCAGUUCAACAAUUGUGUAAGCACAUGUAGGAUGACAUGUUCCACUCUGCCAUUCCUUCAGUGGUGAAGGGGUGCCCUAGCCUUUCUGGGAAUCUCAGGACUUUUUUUAGGGCUGAGAAAGAAGGCCCACCUGCAUUUUACCCCACUGACAACCCCCAUCUGAUAGUGUCUCUGUAUUUCCCCACUGGAUGUCCUGGAUGUCGCCAUCCCAGCCAGUGUCACCUGUCUGUCUAUCACUCCCAAUGAUGCUAUCCUUGCACUACCUGGCUGAUGCUAAGCCAUUCUGUACUUCCCUUACUGCCUCAACCUCCCCCCUGCUGUCCAUGUUGUUGGCAGGAGGCAGAGGCUGAAACUGGAAGAAGGAAAGGAAGUGAUAUAGAGAGAGAACUGUGUAUGAGAGAGAACUGUGUGUAGAGUUGAGACCUGCAAUGGCCUGAAAAGUUCCCAGGGUUGUGGCCUCGACCUGCCAUCCUCGCCUGAGGUCAAUGGGGAGGUAAAGUGGGAGGCACAGGUCUAUGAUAGCUGGAGUAAGUGGUGUGUGGGAUGGGGAGGGGGAAGGACCAAGAGGAAGGGAGGGAUGUAUCGAUACUUUCUUCCACCUGGGUGAAUGAGCUGAGGUGCCCUGGGAGAGGGAGGGGAUGAAUCAACCCCUCAUUUCCAGAAGCUCAGUUUGGGAAUAUGUACUUGAUCCCUUUUCCCCCUUUGUUUAUUGGGCUCCUUUGAGUUCCUGGACCCAUUGGUGUUCAGAUUCAUUUCUUAAAUCCCCCUGACCCCACCCUGGCUGGGUAGAUCAGUAGAUUAGAGCACCAUCCUGAUAUGUCAAUAUUGCCUGGUCAGGGCGCAUACAAGAAUCAACAAACAGCCCACUCGCAGCCGCUGCCACCCAGAGGUGGCUGCGCUGCUCCCUGCUCACAGCCUCUGUGCGCUUUACUCUGACAUGGCAAAAAUGUCCAGUCCUACAGAGACUGAGCAGUGCACCGAGCCUCUGCUGUUUUCUGGAGGUAUGUUGAAAAGGACAGUAACAGCUCUAUACUUUCCAAGACUGAGUUCCUAACCUUCAUGAAUACAGAACUGGCUGCCUUUGCAAAGAACCAGAAGGAACCCGGUGUCCUUGACCGCAUGAUGAAGAAAUUGGAUGUGAACAGUGAUGGGCAGCUAGAUUUCCAAGAA